AACGCGAAGAACCUUACCUGGCCUUGACAUGUCUGGAAUUCUGCAGAGAUGCGGAAGUGCCUUCGGGAACCAGAACACAGGUGCUGCAUGGCUGUCGUCAGCUCGUGUCGUGAGAUGUUGGGUUAAGUCCCGCAACGAGCGCAACCCUUAUUACCAGUUGCCAUCAUUAAGUUGGGCACUCAGGUGAGACCGCCUCGGAUAACGGGGAGGAAGGCGGGGAUGACGUCAAGUCCUCAUGGCCUUUAUGUCCAGGGCUACACACGUGCUACAAUGGCCGGUACAAACCGUCGCAAACCCGUGAGGGGGAGCUAAUCGGAAAAAGCCGGCCUCAGUUCGGAUUGGAGUCUGCAACUCGACUCCAUGAAGCUGGAAUCGCUAGUAAUCGCGGAUCAGAACGCCGCGGUGAAUACGUUCCCGGGCCUUGUACACACCGAGUAUA
rnacentral:rRNA from 1 species